rnacentral:rRNA from 1 species
GACGAACGCUGGCGGCGUGCUUAACACAUGCAAGUCGAACGGAAAGGCCCUGCUUUUGUGGGGUGCUCGAGUGGCGAACGGGUGAGUAACACGUGAGUAACCUGCCCUUGACUUUGGGAUAACUUCAGGAAACUGGGGCUAAUACCGGAUAGGAGCUCCUGCUGCAUGGUGGGGGUUGGAAAGUUUCGGCGGUUGGGGAUGGACUCGCGGCUUAUCAGCUUGUUGGUGGGGUAGUGGCUUACCAAGGCUUUGACGGGUAGCCGGCAUGAGAGGGUGACCGGCCACAUUGGGCCUGAGAUACGGACCAGACUCCUACGGGAGGCAGCAGUGGGGAAUAUUGCACAAUGGGCGGAAGCCUGAUGCAGCAACGCCGCGUGCGGGAUGACGGCCUUCGGGUUGUAAACAGCUUUGGCAUGUGACGAAGCGUGAGUGACGGUAAUGGGUAAAGAAGCAACGGCUAACUACGUG